AAGAGAGAGACAUGCGCGCAUAUCAAUAAGCGGAGGAAAAGAAACUAACAAGGAUUCCCUUAGUAACGGCGAGUGAAGCGGGAAGAGCUCAAAUUUGAAAUCUUCAAGGUUUUACCUUGACGAAUUGUAGUUUAAAGAAGUGUUUUCUGCUGAAGUUUUGGUAAAAGUUCUUUGGAAUAGGACAUCAUAGAGGGUGAGAAUCCCGUAUUUGACCAUUAUUUUCAGCUUUGUGAUACACUUUCAAAGAGUCGGAUUGUUUGGGAAUGCAGUCCAAAAUGGGUGGUAAAUUUCAUCUAAAGCUAAAUAUUGGCGAGAGACCGAUAGCGAACAAGUACCGUGAGGGAAAGAUGAAAAGAACUUUGAAAAGAGAGUUAAACAGUACGUGAAAUUGUCAAAAGGGAAGCGUUUGACACCAGCUGUUGUUUUCUCGAAAAUCAAUUAAAAAAGGCAGGAUUUUGUGUUGUAUUGACUUUAUCAGCUUUCUGCACUCUUUUCUUGUCUUUUUUUAAUGCACUUUUCGUUUAACAAGUCAACAUCAAUUUCUUUUGUUGUAAAAGGGUCAUUGGAAGGUGGCUUUCUUUUCGGAGAAAGUGUUUAUAGCCUUUGGCCUCUGCAAUCGGAAGAGACUGAGGUCUGCAGCGUAGACUCUUCGGGGUUAGAUACAUUUGUGCUAAGUUAUAGCUUUAUAUAGACAACUUGUUGACUAUAAUUAGUCUUGUAGCUUACUCGCUUAUGCUAUUUUACCUACGCUUAGGAUGUUGAAGUCAUCGUAUCGCGC
rnacentral:rRNA from 1 species